rnacentral:rRNA from 1 species
GACGUAGGGCGCGAGCGUUGUCCGGAUUUAUUGGGCGUAAAGAGCUCGUAGGCGGCUUGUUGCGUCGACUGUGAAAACCCGCGGCUUAACUGCGGGCUUGCAGUUGAUACGGGCAGGCUAGGGUUCGGUAGGGGAGACUGGAAUUCCUGGUGUAGCGGUGAAAUGCGCAGAUAUCAGGAGGAACACCGGUGGCGAAGGCGGGUCUCUGGGCCGAUACUGACGCUGAGGAGCGAAAGCGUGGGGAGCGAACAGG